rnacentral:rRNA from 1 species
GGGUAUCCAUGGGCGAGCUGAUGCAGCCUGCCGCGUGAGUGAGAAGGCCUUCGGGUUGUAAAGCUCUUUUGUAGGGAAGAAGGUGCGGGGGCUAAUAUCCUAGGGAAUUGACGGUACCUGGCGAAGAAGCCCCGGCUAACUCCGUGCCAGCAGCCGCGGUAAUAA